UGCAGUCGAGCGAGAAAGUUCCUUCGGGAAUGAGUAAAGCGGCGGACGGGUGAGUAACGCGUAGGAAUCUACCUAGUAGAGGGGGACAACAGUUGGAAACGACUGCUAAUACCGCAUACGCCCUUAUGGGGAAAGUGGGGGAUCUUCGGACCUCACGCUAUUAGAUGAGCCUGCGUAGGAUUAGCUAGUUGGUGGGGUAAAGGCUCACCAAGGCGACGAUCCUUAGCUGUUCUGAGAGGAAGAUCAGCCACACUGGGACUGAGACACGGCCCAGACUCCUACGGGAGGCAGCAGUGGGGAAUAUUGCGCAAUGGGGGCAACCCUGACGCAGCCAUGCCGCGUGUGUGAAGAAGGCUCUAGGGUUGUAAAGCACUUUCAGUAGGGAGGAAAAGUUAAUGGUUAAUACCCAUUAGCCGUGACGUUACCUACAGAAGAAGCACCGGCUAACUCCGUGCCAGCAGCCGCGGUAAUACGGAGGGUGCGAGCGUUAAUCGGAAUUACUGGGCGUAAAGCGCGCGUAGGCGGUGUAUUAAGUCAGAUGUGAAAGCCCCGGGCUCAACCUGGGAACUGCAUUUGAUACUGGUACACUAGAGUACGGGAGAGGGUUGUGGAAUUCCACGUGUAGCGGUGAAAUGCGUAGAUAUGUGGAGGAACAUCAGUGGCGAAGGCGACAACCUGGCUCGAUACUGACGCUGANGUGCGAAAGCGUGGGUAGCAAACAGNANUAGAUACCCUGGUAGUCCACGCCGUAAACGAUGUCUACUAGCCGUUGGGGAUCUUGAAUUCUUANNGGCGCANCUAACGCACUAAGUANACCGNCUGGGGNAGUACGGCCGCNNGGUUAAAACUCAANUGANNUGANGGGGCCCGCANNAGCGGUGGA
rnacentral:rRNA from 1 species